rnacentral:rRNA from 1 species
CCUACGGGAGGCAGCAGUAGGGAAUCUUCCGCAAUGGACGAAAGUCUGACGGAGCAACGCCGCGUGAACGAUGAAGGUUUUCGGAUCGUAAAGUUCUGUUGUUAGGGAAGAACAAGUACCGUUCAAAUAGGACGGUACCUUGACGGUACCUAACGAGGAAGCCCCGGCUAACUACGUGCCAGCAGCCGCGGUAAUACGUAGGGGGCGAGCGUUGUCCGGAAUUAUUGGGCGUGAAGCGCGCGCAGGCGGUUUCUUAAGUCUGAUGUGAAAGCCCACGGCUUAACCGUGGAGGGUCAUUGGAAACUGGGGAACUUGAGUACAGAAGAGGAGAGCGGAAUUCCACGUGUAGCGGUGAAAUGCGUAGAUAUGUGGAGGAACACCAGUGGCGAAGGCGGCUCUCUGGUCUGUAACUGACGCUGAGGCGCGAAAGCGUGGGGAGCGAACAGGAUUAGAUACCCUGGUAGUCCACGCCGUAAACGAUGAGUGCUAGGUGUUAGGGGGUUUCCGCCCCUUAGUGCUGAAGUUAACGCAUUAAGCACUCCGCCUGGGGAGUACGGCCGCAAGGCUGAAACUCAAAAGAAUUGACGGGGGCCCGCACAAGCGGUGGAGCAUGUGGUUUAAUUCGAAGCAACGCGAAGAACCUUAC